GAUGAACGCUGGCGGCGUGCCUAAUACAUGCAAGUCGAACGAAGAAAGAAGAGCUUUCCCUUCUUGACGAUAGGCGAACGCGGGUGUGACACGUGUGUAACACGCCCCUGACUGUCUGGGAUAACCUGGAAACAGCGUCUAAUACCGGAUACGAGACAUAGCAGCAUGGCUACUGUCUGGAAAGUACUGCGGUCUGGGCUGGACUCGCGGCCUAUCAGCUUGUUGGUGAGGUAACGGCUCACGAAGGCAACGACGGGUAGCCGGCCUGAGAGGGCGAACGGCCACCAUGGGACUGCGGGAGGCAGCAGUAGGGUACGGUAGGCAGUAGGCGGGAGCAUGGCGCAACGGGCGAGAGCCUGUGGCGACGGUGCCGGGAGCGGGAAGCCGGCCUUCGGGGUGUAAACAAAUGUCUACGGAGAAGAAGCGAAAGUGACGGUACCUGAAGAGGAAGCACCGGCUAACUACGUG
rnacentral:rRNA from 1 species